CCCUCUGACUCCCAAGUGGAACCGGCAUCUUUGAGUGGAUGCAGGAAUCUGAUCUUGCAACAGGCCCUGGAUAAGCCCUAGGAGCCCGAGGAAGGAGCCAAGAGUGGCUGCACUUGUGUAAUCCCACACAAGUGUCAAUAUCGGUUGCCAAAUACUGAGGCGAAGCCGGUUCCAGCUGAUCACCAUAAAUGCUUUCCCAGCCCCCCUCCCCCCGAGGCAGGGCUGCCUGAUAAAUGUGCGCAGAGGAUGCGCGAGUCGCCUGCGGGACCGGGGCUGUCUAGAAGAGCCGCUGUCGGUGGACAGUGGGUUCGCUGUUCUGCUGAGGCUGAGCAGUGGCCGAGCAGCUGACUUCAUUGGAAAACAAUAUUUUGAAAGGCGCUCGGUUUCCAUGUCAGUGACCUGCUCAGGGAGGCGCUGGCUCUGGGCCAGCUGUGGCCGCGGGGAGCUUCCUGUGAGCCCAGGAGCCCGGAGCAGCGGCAGCAUGUCCCCUGGCCGGCUGUGGUCUGGCCUGCUGGCCGUGCUGGCCCUCCUCUGCCCGACAGCUUCUUCGUGUGGCCUGUCAACCCACGUGGAGAUAGGUCACAGAGCUCUGGAGUUUCUCCGCCUUCAUGAGGGUCACGUAGACUACAGAAAGCUGUUACUGGAACACCAGGAUGCGUAUCAGGCUGGGACCGUGUUUCCCGAUUCCUUUUACCCCAGCUUCUGCAAAGGAGGAAAAUACCAUGACGUGUCUGAGAGCACUCACUGGACUCCAUUCCUUAAUGCAAGCGUCCAUUAUAUCCGCGAGAACUACCCGCUGCCCUGGGAGAAGGACACAGAGAAAUUGGUGGCUUUCUUGUUUGGAAUCACCUCGCACAUGGUGGCAGACGUCAGCUGGCACAGUCUGGGCAUUGAACAAGGGUUCCUCAGGACCAUGAGCGCUAUGGACUUUCACGGCUCCUACCCUGAGGCCCACUCCGCUGGAGACUUUGGAGGAGAUGUGCUGAGUCAGUUUGAAUUCAAUUAUAAUUACCUCGCGCGGCGCUGGUAUGUGCCCAUCAAAGAUCUACUGGGAAUUUAUGAGAAACUUUAUGGCAGAGAAGUCAUUACCAAAAAUGUCAUCAUUGAUUGUACGUACCUUCAGUUCUUAGAAAUGUAUGGAGAGGUGUUAGCCGUUUCCAAGCUUUAUUCUACGUACUCUACAAAGUCCCCAUUUCUGGUGGAACAGUUCCAGGAGUAUUUCCUUGGAGGACUGGAUGACAUGGUGUUCUGGUCCACCAAUAUCUACCGGCUCACGAGCUUCAUGCUGGAGAAUGGGACCAGUGCCUGCGACCUGCCGGAGAACCCUCUGUUCAUCGCAUGUGGUGGCCAGCAAAACCACAGCCACGCGGCAAAAGUGCAGAAGAUUGACUUUCACAGGAACGUGACGGCGCCCAGAACUAAGGGUCUUGGAAGAAACAUCAACUACACUGAGAGGGGCGUGGUCUUCAGUGUGGACACCUGGACCCCGGAUUCCAUGUCCUUCAUGUACCAGGCCUUGGAGAGGAACCUGCGGACCGUGUUCAUGGCCAGCUCUCAGGAGCCCCUGAAGCACAUCUCCAGCCCCUUGGCAUCGUACUUCACGUCCGUCCCCUACGCGAGGCUGGGCUGGGCCAUGGCCUCUGCGGACCUCAACCAGGAUGGGUACCGCGACCUUGUGGUGGGGGUACCCGGCUACAGCCGCCCCGGCCACUUCCAGCUUGGGCGUGUGUACCUCGUCUACGGCAACGACCUGGGUCUACCCCCCACUGACCUGGACCUGGACACGGAGGCCAGCGGGAGCCUGGAGGGCUUCCAGCCCUCAGGUCGCUUUGGCUCAGCCGUGGCCGUGUUGGAUUUUAACCAGGACGGGGUUCCGGACUUGGCUGUGGGAGCACCCUCUGUGGGCUCUGAGCAGCUCACAUACAAAGGUGCAGUGUAUGUCUACUUUGGUUCCAAAAAAGGAAGACUGAAUUCUCCCCCUAACAUCACCAUCUCCUGCCAGGACACCUACUGCAACCUGGGCUGGACACUCCUCGCUGCAGAUGUGAAUGGAGACAGUGAGCCCGACCUAGUGAUUGGCUCCCCCUUUGCACCGGGUGGAGGAAGGCAGAAGGGAAUCGUGGCUGCCUUUUAUUCUGGCCCCUGCCAGAGCAACCAAGAGCAGCUAAACGUGGAGGCGGCCGACUGGAUGGUGAGCGGUGAGGAGGACUUUGCCUGGUUUGGAUAUGCCCUCCACAGUGUCAGGGUGGACAGCAGAACCUUGCUGCUGGUGGGGAGCCCCACGUGGAGGAACGUCAGCAGGCUGGACCAUGCGUCCCACAGCCACGACAAGCAGAGCCUUGGCAGGGUGUACGGCUACCUCCCCCCAGAUCGCCAGAGCAGGUUUAUCAUUUCUGGUGACAAGGCAAUGGGGAAGCUGGGCACGUCAUUGUCAAGUGGCCACGUGAUGGUGAACGGGAACCGUACCCAAGUGCUGCUGGUGGGAGCCCCGACUCACGAUGAUGUGUCUAAGAUGGCAUUCCUGACCAUGACCCUGCACCAGGGUGGAGCCACCCGGGUGUAUGCGCUGACCCUGGACAUGCAGCCUUCUCUGCUCAGCACCUACAGUGGAGACCGUCGCUUCUCUCGCUUUGGUGGAGUUCUGCACUUGAGUGACCUGGAUAACGAUGGCUUAGAUGAAAUCAUCCUGGCAGCCCCGCUGAGGAUAACAGAUGUAACCUCUGGGCUGCUUGGGGGAGAAGAUGGACGGGUCUAUAUAUACAAUGGCAAACAGACCACCCUUGGUGACGUAACAGGCAAAUGCAAAUCAUGGAUAACUCCUUGCCCAGAAGAAAAGGCCCAAUAUGUAUUGAUUUCUCCUGAGGCAAGUUCAAGGUUUGGGAGCUCUCUGAUGGCUGUGAGGUCAAAGGAGAAGGUAAGUGUAUGGACUGCACUUCUCUGAUGCUUAUAUCUGUUCUAAGGCCAGGAUUUGGUGAUCUUCAACAACUUUAGAUUUUAUUUUUAUUUGAAAAUUAGCACAAAGGUAGCACUCACAUAAUCUCAUUGUUUUUGAAUGAAAAGUUCCCCUUCUUACUCCUAUUUUAUUCCCUACGGCAGAGGCUGUUGGUAUACUAUAGCCCACUCCCUGUUCUAGAGUAGCCAUUAACUAAAAUGGUCAUUAUGUGUUUAAAUAGCUGAAAAAUAUUAUUAUGACAUGUGAAAUUGAUAUGAAGUUAAAACCCAUGCCCAUGAAGUUUCACUGGAACUUAGCCAUACUCAUUCAUCCAUGGCUAUGCUACAGUGGUAACUUCAGAGACUGAUGUCUCACAAAGUCUAAAUUAUUUAUUAUCUGGCUUGUCACAGAAAAUUUGCUGAUGCUUGUCCUACUGGAAAACCAUUGUUCGUAUUUUAUUUUCUUCCAGACUUGCAGCUCUUAAGUGACUCUAGAGACAGACACAUGCAGGGCUACUGUUUCAUUUUUAUGUACUGUUUGAUGUCUUCCCAGAGAAGUACCUGAGCUACCUGCUCCUUUCCUGUUCUUAAUAGCUACCUAGUAUUUUGUUGUCUGAAUUUAUCAUAUUUCAGUUCUCCAGUUCAGAUUCUCUGAUAUUUAGGUCAUUUCUUUUUUGGUUUCUUGAUUCUUGAAUCUGUAUUUUCAUAUAACUGCAAAUAUUCUUGUAAGCAACAAUCACUAAAUGAAAGGUGUAUACAUUUAAAAUUAGUAGAUGUAGUAGAUUUAAGAGUCUUACCUUAAUUUAUACCUCUAAACCACUAAUUGCAUGUGUAUGAUACUGUGUAGAGCUGUGCUAGACUAUUAAAUAUAAGCAAAGUCUCUGGUUUUGAAAAAUAACAUAUACAUGAGAAAUUGAAUAAAAUGCAAACUGGUGUAGGAUUAAACACUGCAGAGCAGAGUGAACAGGAAGCAUUAACUGGGAAGAAGGUCUGGGAGGCCUCAGACUUUAAGGACUUGGCAGGCCCUGAGCCAGGAUCCUGCCCCCAAGGAGCAUGGUGAAACCGCCCUCCAGUGGCCAGCACUGCAGGCUGGCUCACUUACAGCCAUGCCUCUCAGCAAAGGUUCAGGCUGAGCACUACACAAACAUGGAUUAAGCUUAUGGAAAGAUUCUUGAAACAAUACUUUAUCAUAAGUUUGGAUUUUAUUUAAAAUUUAAUGCAUUUCAUUAACACCAUUAAUAAUUAGAUAUUAAUUAAUCCAUGCAUUUGAUUAACUGGUAGCAACAAACCAGAAUGCGGAGGCCUUAACACUUACCCAGGUGGUGCUGCCCGCAUCUGUAUUCUGAAACUUCUCAGGAGGUGCCAGAGCAGAACUCACGGAUGGACCGUGAGCACCAGAGGUGGACAAGAGAACCCGAGGCCCAGUCCCCAGGACCUUAUAAACCAGCUUGUCAUUGCUGCUGGAAGGAGUUCUCUGGGAGCCCGGCUUGCGGGGGCACUUCAUGUCUACAGCCUCAGCUCAGAUUAGAGAUUUCACUCCAUCUUCCUCCUCUGCUCGCUCCUCUCGUGUGUGGAAUCAUCUCCAGGGUGAGAGCUCUGGUGGACCAGCUGAAGUGGGCCAAGGUGGACCCUGAUGGUGGGGUCCUGGGAGCAGAGCCGAGCACCAACAGCCAGGCCAUCUGGAAGCAAGGAACAGUAAACCACGUGCCUCCACCAGAAGCGGUGAACCAGGAAGCACUCUAGCCGUGCACGCCGUGUCCUCAAGCUCACUUCCUUGGCACCUAAGUCUCUCUUCCUAGCUGACUGCGUAUGCUCCGACUACCAUACAGACUCCUUCCCCUUCCAUUUGAACACCUAAUCCUUGUAUAAAGGUUCUCCGUGGUUUUCUCUGAGGACAAUCUCUACACAAUUCCUCCUAAACAAAACAACCUCCCCACUCCACCCUGCAAACCCUUUUGUUAGUGGACAAUUCCAAUUAAAACAAAUAACAUACAGGAAAAAAGGAGGAGAAAAAGUAGAGAUGAGUACAGGUGUGAGGGAUAACUCACACUCCCAAAUUACUAGUGAGUUGGUCCUUUCCAGCCCAUUACAUCCCAUCCUACAUAUAGGACACAUAUAAGACUGCUUGAUUUGUUUUCAUAGGUGUCUUAUUUAGAAUGAUUGCACAUAAGGGGUUACUGAGGAUUAAUGCAUUUUCCAUGUUUUCUAUAGUGAAAGAUCAACAUAACAAAGCUUAUGUUGUGCCCUCAAAUGCUUUUGCAGAUGGUUGUUCUGACAGGUGACAAGCCAUGAAUCUGCUAGUGUGAAAUCAACGAGGGGCUUUGCUGUGCUAGCCUGCUAUGUUACACCAUAGGACUAGAACAGAAAAUAAGUCCAUCCUGAGCCAAAGGCUACUGUGAGGGACCAUAAAGAAGGAUGUGGGCCUUGGCUUCACUUGUCCUUGUGCUGUUCUUAAUAGGGUGGAUUUUCUCGUGAGUCCCGAGCAGGGCACACACAAGGGAUAGGGUUAGUCACAGGAGUUACUAUCUGUAAACAAUAACUGCUUUGUGUUAAUUGGUGGAGAUGUUCUUCUGAUAAUGGUAAAUGAAAAAAAAAACAGGAGAAAAUACAUGAAAAGAGCCUUUCUCAUCUCAGCUUCUCUGGAGAGACAGGAAGAAGAAUCCUAAUGGGAAGUCAGAAACCAAAGGAACGGCUGUGGCCAAGAUGUGAGCAGAGGGCCGGUGACCACAGGAAAGUGGGGCAAACGGGCAUGCACCCAGAGGGCACCUCUGGCCUGCACCUGGAGCCCCAUCAUUUUUCUGAGUUGUGCUGGCCACAUGGCUUCCUAUGGCACAGCAAAAAGCACACAGAAAUAACAUUUAGUUUGUUUGGCUAGUAAUCUGGCAGCUCAACCUCUUUGAAUAAUUUUUAAUUAAAAGUAAGGUGAUUUGUAGGGGACUGGAAAUUGCUUAUUCACUUUGAGCUGAGAGGUCUGAGUGUAGAACAAACUCAGAUGACAUCUGACACUGCAUUCAGGAAAAGUUUUUCUCAGUAUUAGAUCUUUUAAAGAUGAAUCUUUCUAUUGCCAUUAUUAUGUAAGUAUCAGUGUUUUUGUGCUUCACUAAACGACUGCCCGUGUUUAAACACAGUGACUCUCUACCCGAAAGAAUCUAUUUUUCUCAGUGUCUGAACACAGCACAGAUAGUAAGCACCAGGUGAAGAAAGUUAAAAAUCUUUAAAGAUGGAAGCAUUUUUCAAGGUUGGAGAACAUUUAGCCAAUUAACCUCAUUGUCAAAAACUAUAUAAAUACCUACUGUUGAAGGUCAACCUGAAUAUCAAAUUUGUCAAAAACUUGGCCUUUGGAAAAAAACUGUCAGUAACGUAUCAUCCUAAAGAGGUAGAUUAAAUUUUCAUCCCACUAUUAA